rnacentral:pre_miRNA from 1 species
CAGGGGAGCAGGAUCCUGGUCUGUGUCCUCUGCUCCCUGGGGUCCGGGGCCUGAGCUCCUGGAAUCACGCUCCGGGCCCGCGGCUCCCG